UACGUAGGGUGCAAGCGUUGUCCGGAAUUAUUGGGCGUAAAGGGCUCGUAGGCGGUCCAUCGCGUCGGGAGUGAAAAGCUGGGGCUUAACCCCAGUCCUGCUUCCGAUACGGGUGGACUAGAGGUAGGCAGGGGAGAACGGAAUUCCUGGUGUAGCGGUGAAAUGCGUAGAUAUCUGGAGGAACACCGGUGGCGAAGGCGGCAUCCUGGACCGACACUGACACUGAGGAGCGAAAGCCAGGGGAGCAAACGGG
rnacentral:rRNA from 1 species